AUGGCUUUUGCUCUAAGAUCAAUAAGCUUGCCUUCAAGGCAUCACACCACUGAGGCGGAAGUACAAGAAGAUCUGCACAGCCUAGAGACAAGUGUCUCUUCAUCCGUCACCAUCGAGACGAUGUGCGAUGGCCUGCGGAGGCUUGGAGACAUCUACGGUGCUGUUGAGGAGAUCAUCCAGUUGCCAAGCAACCAAGUCUGUUCCUCCCAGAGGAAGAUAUUGGAUGGAGAGACGGAAUAUUCUCUCGAGCUUCUGGAUCUCUGCAACAACAUGCAAGAGAUCUUCGUUGAGCUCAAGGCCAUUAUCCAAGAGCUGCAAGUGGCUCUAAGAAAAGGAGAUGAUGCAACCAUCCAAGCCAAGAUCCAGUCUUACAUCAGACUGGUGAAGAAGGCUGGUAAACAAUUCAAGAAGACUACCAGGAAGGCGACUUCGGACAAGAUGGAUAGCGGAAUGGUCAGUCUAUUCAUCAACGCAAGGGAGAUGACUAUCUCUCUACUUGAGUCCGUGGUGCACCUUUUGUCGAAGCAAAUCGAAGUGCCUAAACAGUCCCUAGUUUCCAAGGCAUUUCACAAGAAAAAAGCUGUUGUUUGUGAGGAGCAAUUGCAGGACUUAGAGUGCAGUAUCAGGGAUCUUGAGAGUGGAGCAGGGCACCUGUUCCGGAAAUUAAUCCAGAGCAGAGUUUCCCUCCUAAACAUACUUAGCUCAUAG
rnacentral:rRNA from 1 species